GACGGAGGAGGCUAGCGUUGUUCGGAAUUACUGGGCGUAAAGCGUACGCAGGUGGCGGUGCAAGUCGGAUGUGAAAGCCCAGGGCUCAACCCUGGAUGUGCAUCCGUUACUGCAUUGCUAGAGUUCGGGAGAGGAGAGCGGAAUUCCCAGUGUAGAGGUGAAAUUCGUAGAUAUUGGGAAGAACACCGGUGGCGAAGGCGGCUCUCUGGACCGAUACUGACACUCAAGUACGAAAGCGUGGGGAGCAAACAGG
rnacentral:rRNA from 1 species